ensembl:snoRNA
UGUGAGUGAUGACAACACUUUCCCCGACUCAAAUGUGGGGGGGUUUACUGAUUUAAUGAGCCUGACAC